GACGAACGCUGGCGGCGUGCCUAAUACAUGCAAGUCGAACGCUUCUUUUCCCACCGGAGCUUGCUCCACCGGGAAAAGAGGAGUGGCGAACGGGUGAGUAACACGUGGGUAACCUGCCCAUCAGAAGGGGAUAACACUUGGAAACAGGUGCUAAUACCGUAUAACAAUCGAAACCGCAUGGUUUCGUUUUGAAAGGCGCUUUACGGUGCCGCUGAUGGAUGGACCCGCGGUGCAUUAGCUAGUUGGUGAGGUAACGGCUCACCAAGGCCACGAUGCAUAGCCGACCUGAGAGGGUGAUCGGCCACAUUGGGACUGAGACACGGCCCAA
rnacentral:rRNA from 1 species